GGUAGCGCAGGGGCCGGUGAGCGAGAAAGCGCUGCCCGCGGUGUGCAAAUGCCCGCGUGCGAGCCGAGAUCACCGCGGGGCCGCGGUGGCGGAGCGGGAAGGUGACACAGAGCUGUGGGGAGCGGCAGCAGAGGAAUGAUUUUCAAAAGGAAUCUUUGCAGUGAAUGUGAUGAACCACCGAGCUGCCUGAUGCUUCUACCUUGGCUCUGUCCUUCAUCAGAUUAAGUUCUCUUCUUACUUCACUGAGCAGCAGCAGCAGAAACCCACUUGUCUCAGAAGACUGGCUGGUUACGGUGGCUCGUCUGGAGGAGUAAUAACUGCUGGAAGACCGUGAGUCUCUGGGAGAAACCCUCAGUAGGGAUCCAAGGCAAGG